rnacentral:rRNA from 1 species
UAGGGAAUCUUCGGCAAUGGGGGGAACCCUGACCGAGCAACGCCGCGUGAGUGAAGAAGGUUUUCGGAUCGUAAAGCUCUGUUGUUAAGGAAGAACGAGUGUGAGAAUGGAAAGUUCAUACUGUGACGGUACUUAACCAGAAAGGGACGGCUAACUACGUGCCAGCAGCCGCGGUAAUACGUAGGUCCCGAGCGUUGUCCGGAUUUAUUGGGCGUAAAGCGAGCGCAGGCGGUUAGAUAAGUCUGAAGUUAAAGGCAGUGGCUCAACCAUUGUAGGCUUUGGAAACUGUUUAACUUGAGUGCAGAAGGGGAGAGUGGAAUUCCAUGUGUAGCGGUGAAAUGCGUAGAUAUAUGGAGGAACACCGGUGGCGAAAGCGGCUCUCUGCUCUGUAACUGACGCGGAGGCUCGAAAGCGUGGGGAGCGAACAGG